GACGAACGCUGGCGGCGUGCUUAACACAUGCAAGUCGAACGGAAAGAUCCUGCUUUUGUUGGUUUCUCGAUUGCCGAACGCGUGAGUGACACGUGUGUAUCCUCUCCCUGUCUUUCUGAUAUCUUCUGGAAACUCGGGCUCUUAUCCGGUAUAAUCUCUUGCUGCACGGUGGUGAUUGGUAAGUGUCGGCGUUUGUGGCUGUUCUCGCGGCUUAUCCGCUUCAUUGUCUGGUAGUUGCUUACCAAGGUUUUGACGGGUAGCCGGCCUGGGAGGCUGACCGGCCACAUUGGGACUGAGAGACGGAGCAGAAUGCUACGGGAGGCAGCAGGGGGGAAUAUUACACAAUGGGCGGAAGCCUGAUGCAACAACGCCGCGUGCGGGAUAACGGCCUUCGGGUGGUAAACCGAUUUCGAAUGUAACGAAGCGUGAGUGACGGUAAUGGGUAAGGAAGCACCGGCUAACUACGUG
rnacentral:rRNA from 1 species